AUGGAUCAAAGAGUUCGCUUUUCUGACUGUUUGCAGCCUGGUUCCAUCAGCUUUUCCUCCUCCUCUCCUCCCCCGGCGUCCCCAGAGACUUGGGAGCCCUCGUGAGGACUCCUCAGCCAGCCGGCCUACAUGCUGUGUGAUGACCUGAAAAGCCAGUCAUCUGAAGACUCUGACGAAAGGAAGCUCAAAGAAGCCAAGAAGAUACUCAUGGAUGAAAUGCUUUGCACAUAUGGGAUGGAAAGUUGUGCUGUAUUAAGUCAAAAAGCAGCUUCUGAAGAAUGUAUUAUGGCUGCAGCUUCACAGGGAGAGAGAAACAGCUGGGGCGGUUGA
rnacentral:lncRNA from 1 species